rnacentral:piRNA from 1 species
UCUAGUGAGUCUGAGUUGAAAGUCGGA